rnacentral:rRNA from 1 species
UAGACGCUAGCGGCAGGACCUAAUACAUGACAAGUCGAACGCUCAGUAGACAAUACUGGGAGUGGCGCACGGGUGCGUAACGCGUACACAAUCUACCUCUAAGGCGGGGGACACCUCCUGGGAAACGGGGAUUAAUACCGCAUAAUAUGCCGAAGUCGCAUGACUUUGGUAUUAAAGCAGCAAUGCACUUAGAGAUGAGUGUGCGUCCCAUUAGGUAGUUGGUGAGGUAACGGCUCACCAAGCCUAUGAUGGGUAGCCGGUCUGAGAGGAUGGUCGGCCACACGGGCACUGAGACACGGGCCCGACUCCUACGGGAGGCAGCAGUAAGGAAUAUUGGUCAAUGGUGGAAACACUGAACCAGCCAUGCCGCGUGGAGGAAUAAGGUCCUACGGAUUGUAAACUCCUUUGACGAGGAAGAAAAUGUUAGAUUUAUCUAAUUUUGACGGUACUCGUAGAAUAAGCACCGGCUAACUCCGUG